rnacentral:rRNA from 1 species
GAUGAACGCUGGCGGCAUGCCUAAUACAUGCAAGUCGAACGAGAGGAAGGAAAGCUUGCUUUCCUGAAUCUAGUGGCGAACGGGUGAGUAACACGUAGGUAACCUGCCCAUGUGCCCGGGAUAACUUCUGGAAACGGAUGCUAAAACCGGAUAGGUAGCAGACAAGCAUUUGACUGCUAUUAAAGUGGCCUUGGCCAUGAACAUGGAUGGACCUGCGGUGCAUUAGCUAGUUGGUGAGGUAACGGCCCACCAAGGCAACGAUGCAUAGCCGGCCUGAGAGGGCGGACGGCCACAUUGGGACUGAGACACGGCCCAAACUCCUACGGGAGGCAGCAGUAGGGAAUUUUCGUCAAUGGGGGGAACCCUGAACGAGCAAUGCCGCGUGAGUGAGGAAGGUCUUCGGAUCGUAAAGCUCUGUUGUAAGAGAAAAACGGCACUCAUAGGGAAUGGUGAGUGAGUGAUGGUAUCUUACCAGAAAGUCACGGCUAACUACGUGCCAGCCGCCGCGGUAAGAC